UACGGAGGGUGCAAACGUUGCUCGGAAUUAUUGGGCGUAAAGCGCACGUAGGUGGUCUAUCAAGUCAGGUGUGAAAGCCCUGGGCUCAACCCAGGAAGUGCACUUGAAACUGACAGGCUUGAGUAUGGAAGAGGGUCGCGGAAUUCCCGGUGUAGAGGUGAAAUUCGUAGAUAUCGGGAGGAACACCAGUGGCGAAGGCGGCAUCCUGGACCGAUAUUGACGCUGAGGCGCGAAAGCCAGGGGAGCAAACGGG
rnacentral:rRNA from 1 species